GACGAACGCUGGCGGCGUGCUUAACACAUGCAAGUCGAACGGAAAGGCCUGCUUUCCCUUGUGGAUUGCGGGUACUCGAGUGGCGAACGGGUGAGUAACACGUGAGUGAUCUGCCCCCAACUUGGGUAUAAGCCUGGGAAACUGGGUCUAAUUCCCGAUAGGACUGCAGGGUGGUGCCUGUGGUGGAAAACGAUUUUCUAGUGGUUGGGGAUGAGCUCGCGGCCUAUCAGCUUGUUGGUGGGGUAAUGGCCUACCAAGGCGGCGACGGGUAGCCGGCCUGAGAGGGUGGACGGCCACAUUGAGACUGAGAUACGGCCCAGACUCCUACGGGAGGCAGCAGUGGGGAAUAUUGCACAAUGGGCGGAAGCCUGAUGCAGCGACGCCGCGUGGGGGAUGACGGCCUUCGGGUGGUAAACUCCUUUCGACCGCGAGGAAGCCACCUGGUUGGAAGGGUGGUGACGGUAGUGGUAGAAGAAGCACCGGCUAACUACGUG
rnacentral:rRNA from 1 species